rnacentral:rRNA from 1 species
CCUACGGGAGGCAGCAGUGGGGAAUAUUGGGCAAUGGGCGCAAGCCUGACCCAGCAACGCCGCGUGAAGGAAGAAGGCUUUCGGGUUGUAAACUUCUUUUAAGGGGGAAGAGCAGAAGACGGUACCCCUUGAAUAAGCCACGGCUAACUACGUGCCAGCAGCCGCGGUAAUACGUAGGUGGCAAGCGUUGUCCGGAUUUACUGGGUGUAAAGGGCGUGCAGCUGGAGAGAUAAGUCAGAUGUGAAAUCCACGGGCUCAACCCGUGAACUGCAUUUGAAACUGUUUCCCUUGAGUGUCGGAGAGGUAAUCGGAAUUCCUUGUGUAGCGGUGAAAUGCGUAGAUAUAAGGAAGAACACCAGUGGCGAAGGCGGAUUACUGGACGAUAACUGACGGUGAGGCGCGAAAGCGUGGGGAGCAAACAGGAUUAGAUACCCUUGUAGUC